rnacentral:tRNA from 1 species
GGUCGUCGGCGUGAGGUUCUCCUGCACGCCGUCGCUCCAGACGACGGUAGCCACGAGGUCCGCGGGCGCGGCUCCCGGGGCGGUCAC